rnacentral:rRNA from 1 species
CAGCCGCCGCGGGAAUACAGAGGGUGCAAGCGUUAAUCGGAAUUACUGGGCGUAAAGCGCGCGUAGGUGGUUUGUUAAGUUGGAUGUGAAAGCCCCGGGCUCAACCUGGGAACUGCAUCCAAAACUGGCAAGCUAGAGUACGGUAGAGGGUGGUGGAAUUUCCUGUGUAGCGGUGAAAUGCGUAGAUAUAGGAAGGAACACCAGUGGCGAAGGCGACCACCUGGACUGAUACUGACACUGAGGUGCGAAAGCGUGGGGAGCAAACAGGAUUAGAUACCCCCGUAGUCCCUGUCUCUUAUAA